CUACGGGUCGCUGCAGUGGGGAAUAUUGCACAAUGGAGGAAACUCUGAUGCAGCAACGCCGCGUGGAGGAUGACACUUUUCGGAGCGUAAACUCCUUUUAUAUAGGAAGAUAAUGACGGUACUAUAUGAAUAAGCACCGGCUAACUCCGUGCCAGCAGCCGCGGUAAUACGGAGGGUGCAAGCGUUACUCGGAAUCACUGGGCGUAAAGAGCGUGUAGGCGGGUUAAUAAGUCAGAAGUGAAAUCCUAUGGCUCAACCAUAGAACUGCUUUUGAAACUGUUAACCUAGAAUAUGGGAGAGGUAGAUGGAAUUUCUGGUGUAGGGGUAAAAUCCGUAGAGAUCAGAAGGAAUACCGAUUGCGAAGGCGAUCUACUGGAACAUUAUUGACGCUGAGACGCGAAAGCGUGGGGAGCAAACAGGAUUAGAUACCCCGGUAGUC
rnacentral:rRNA from 1 species